GCUCGUCUAAUGAUGGAGUGAAGCGGCCGCUUUGGGACGCACUCGCACGCCGUGUGGUUGACAAAGGUCACCAUGACAACGGAGCGCUCCAUCCUGGGUGGCGACAGCUCCAUCAGCUGGCAGGACGCAAAGGAGGGUUUGAAAGUGUCAUGUGUUGAAGUGGAGGAGAAGCUGCAUGCAGACGUCUUGGAGGAGUGAAGGAGAAAGAAUACCAGACUGGAAGGCUCAGAGUUGAAAUUGCUGGUCUCCUUCAAGGAUUUCCACUAUUUUUACCCCACAUUCCUCACAUCUUAAAGCUGUUGAAAUAGUACGCGCUCACCUCCGCCUCUAAGUGCCUUUUUAUUGGCCGCUAAUACUUUUUUUUUUUUUAGCUGUUUCUGCUUUACAUCAUUCCGCCGCGCUUCUUCUUCCUCACAGGAGAAAUGAAGCGACCCCCCCGACGGUGCUUUUAGUGCAAGGUCAUGCUUUGCAUACUUCCAUGAGUGCCCCAAGGCUGGGGGCAUGUGUGUCACAGGAGGAGGAGGAAAGGUGAACGGCAGAAACCUGACUUUGAGUUAUUAUCUUCCAACCCCCCUCCACACACACACACACACACACACACACACACACACACAGCCUCCCAAGGUGAAGCAGGACGGCGGAAUAUAUUAUGGGGACGGACCAGACAUGAAAAAGACGAGAGAGACAUCCAAGCUGUGAGAAAGGGGAGUGUCUGGGAACUGCUUGGCUGG